rnacentral:rRNA from 1 species
UACGGAGGGUGCAAGCGUUGUCCGGAAUCACUGGGCGUAAAGGGCGCGUAGGCGGCUCAUGUAGGCUGUGGUGAAAGUCCGGGGCUCAACCUCGGAUCGGCCGUGGCGACUCGUGGGCUGGAGCACUGUAGAGGCGGGUGGAAUUCCGGGUGUAGCGGUGGAAUGCGUAGAGAUCCGGAAGAACACCAGUGGCGAAGGCGGCCCGCUGGGCAGUGGCUGACGCUGAGGCGCGACAGCGUGGGGAGCAAACAGG